rnacentral:lncRNA from 13 species
GAAAAAUAGUUAACUGUCUCACUGCCUUUUGUUUUCAAAUGUUUUAUUUCCUGGACUAAAGGCCGACCACCAGUUGUCUCUCUAUUCCAGUGCCUUGGCACUUCACAAGACCAUUCUGUUAUAGCAAAAGAAAACAGACUAAGCCUCGCUGUUGUAAUGAAUAUCAUAAACUGGGUGGCUUAAACAACAGACUAUUGUUUCUUACAGUUUGGGAUGCUGCGAAGUCCGAAAUCAAGGAUCUCCUGAUUCAACCUGAUUCAAUCCCUGAUUCAGCUCCGGUCAGAUGUCUGCCCUGGUCCAAUCACCCAAGGAGAAGUGGAUGUGAUGCUGCGUUGCUCAAAGGAAAUAUCCUGCUGAUUUUGUGGUGAAGGAAUGAGUCUCUAAGCAAAGGAGAUUUUCAUAAGGAGGUCAAACCCAGCACUAAGGCUUACUAAGAGAGAGAAGAAACACAAUGUUGCCAAAAAGAGGAGUCACGAUGGUUAUUGCAGUGUCCUGCUCCAGAAGUUUGAUCAGAUGAACUAAGCAGACUGGCCCAGGGCCUGGCUCAGAUAUGGUCACUCAGGUCAAGGCACAGAAUCCAAGCAGUGUUGCAAGCUUAGAUGAAGUGCAGCUUCCUGUCAUUUAGUCUUAUCAAAAAUACAUGGGGUUGAAAGAGUCUAAAUAGAGGCCUACACAUGGGAGAAAAAGAAAGGGGAAUAACUUCAAUUACUUUGUGACUGGUAGUAAUAAGGAUGCAGAAAGAGGAAGAUGAUGAACUGCUCACUGUUGAUUGUACAAUACCUUUGUAUUUUUGUUUCAAUUUUGAAAACACUCCUUAUUCACUAAUUGCCUAACACACAUAUGCCUUGAAUCCAACAUGGGACUAAAACUUAAAAACAAAAAUAAAAAAACAGAUCGUGUGUUCA